GACAGUUCUCGGGUGACGCACCCUGGAAUUGGGCUCCCUCCUCUCUGGUUCCAGGGUGCGUCACUUGAGAACCACU
rfam:Myotis brandtii contig217068, whole genome shotgun sequence.